rnacentral:rRNA from 1 species
UGCAAGCUUUAAUCGGAUUUACUGGGCGUAAAGCGCGCGUAGGCGGCUAAUUAAGUCAACUGUGAAAUCCCCGAGCUUAACUUGGGAAUUGCAUUCGAUACUGGUUAGCUAGAGUGUGGGAGAGGAUGGUAGAAUUCCAGGUGUAGCGGUGAAAUGCGUAGAGAUCUGGAGGAAUACCGAUGGCGAAGGCAGCCAUCCGGCCUAACACUGACGCUGAGGUGCGAAAGCAUUGGGAGCAAACAGG